rnacentral:lncRNA from 1 species
GAAUAAUAAGAAUAAUAGGAAUAAUAAUAGGAAUGAUAGGAAUAGGAAUAAAAGGAAUGAUAGGAAUAAUAGGAGUAAUAAUAAUAGGAAUGAUAGGAAUAAUAGGAGUAAUAAUGAUAGGAAUAAUAGGAUUAGGAGUAACAGGAAUUAUAGCAAUAAUAGGAAUGAUAGGAAUGAUAGGAAUUAAUAGGAAUAAUAAUAAUAGGAAUGAUAGGAAUAGGAAUAACAGAAAUGAUAGGAAUGAUAGGAGUAAUAAUAAUAGGAAUAAUAGGAACUAAUAGGAAUAAUAAUAACAGGAAUGAUAGGAAUAAUAGAAGUACUAAUAAUAGGAAUAAUAGGAGUAGGAAUAACAGGAAUAAUAGCAAUAAUAGGAAUUAAAUAGGAAUAAUAAUAAGAGGAAUGAUAGGAAUAAUAGGAGUAAUAAUAAUAGGAAUAAUAGGAUUAGGAGUAACAGGAAUAAUAGGAAUAAUAAGAAUAAUAGGAAUGAUAGGAAUAAUAAUAACAGGAAUGAUAGGAAUAGGAAUAAUAGCAAUAAUAGGAAUAAUAAUAAUAGGAAUGAUAGGAAUAAUAGAAGUACUAAUACUAGGAAUAAUAGGAUUAGGAAUAACAGGAAUAAUAGCAAUAAUAAUAGGAAUAAUAGCAAUAAUAGGAAUAGAAAUAAUAGAAAUGAUAGGAAUAAUAGGAGUAAUAAUAAUAAGAAUAAUAGGAAUAAUAGGAAUAAUAAUAACAGGAAUGAUAGGAAUAGGAAUAAUAGCAAUAAUAGGAAUAAUAGCAAUAAUAAUAAUAGGAAUAAUGGCGAUAAUAGCAAUAAUAGUGGUAGGAAUGAUAAUAAUAGGAACGAUGGGAAUAAUAAUGGUAGGAAUAAUAAUAAUGGGAAUGAUGGGAAUUAGAAAUGAUGGGAAUAAUAGGAAUGAUAGCAACGAUGACGAUAGAAAUAAUAAUAAUAGGAAUGAUGGGAAUAAUAGCAAUAAUAGGGAUACUAAUAGCAAUAAUAGGGAUACCAAUAGCAGGAAUAAUAGGAUCAGCGCAAUUAAUAGCAACAAUAACCCUAAAAAUAACGGCGAUAGGACGGGAGGAGGGCGCUAAUAAGGACCACCCCCCCAAACCCCCCCCCAGUAGCGCAGUUCCCAGUCGGGCAGCGCCGGGAUUCGAACCCGGAUCUCCGCGGUGAUGACGCGCAGCCGGGAUGGGGGGGGAUUUUGGGGGGGGGUCCUGAGAGCGGAUUGUUGGGGGGGGGGGCCGGAAGGCCGCUUAGGGCAACCGCUGGUUGUGCGGUGAAUGAUUGCGGAGCCGGAGGUGAUUUAGGAAGGAGGAGGGCGGCCAUAAAAGCAGCGCGAAGUGCGCGGCUUUUUUCCUCCGGAGUCGCUCAUUAUCGGCUUAUUAAUUAGCGAUAAUUGUGAAUUACGGAGCGCAAUCAACGGCACCGAGCUCCGCUCGCGGCGAAGCUUUCAAGGAAAGCGGGCGGCUCCGAACCCCCCCCCGAUUAUAUUAAAAAAAAAGCGCCGUAUUUUGGCUCGAUUUCCCACUUUUUUCUUUCAAAAUAACGCUGCGCUCGGCGCGCAGCGCGGAAAUAGCGCGCAUAGGGCGGGGGAAGGGCGCAGCUUUUUGGGGUUUUUUCAGCCCGUUUCGGUCAACGGAGGAGAGACGAGAGCGGCCGAAACUCAACGCGCGGCUCCGCCCGCGCAGCGCGGAGAGACGGAGCGCAAUUUGGGUGAGUUUGGGUUUUUUUUAAAAAAAUUACUUUUAUUUCUUCCUUUUUUUUUUUUUUCUCCUCCGUUUUAUGUUUCCCCGUUUUUCCGAUUUUUUUUAAUUUCAUUUUUUUUUUUUAAACGCGCCUUUAUUUUUUUUUUCCCUUUUUUAUUCUUUUCAAUUUUAUUUUUAAUUUUCUGUUUUUUUUUUUUCUUCUGGUUUUUAACGUUUUCUGUUUUUCUUUCGUCCUCUUUUCCUUUUUCUUCGCAUUUUAAAAUAUUGCCUAUUUUCUUUUUUCCUGCUUUAUAAUAUUUUCUAUUUUCCUUUUUUUCCCCUCAUUUUAAAAUAUUUUCUAUUUUCAAAGCAUUUCCACCUUUUAUCCUUUAUAUUUUUUCCC